rnacentral:misc_RNA from 1 species
GAUGAAGAACGCAGCGAACUGCGAUAAGUAAUGUGAAUUGCAGAAUUCAGUGAAUCAUCGAGUCUUUGAACGCACAUUGCGCCCCCUGGCAUUCCGGGGGGCAUGCCUGUCCGAGCGUCAUUGCUGCCCUUCAAGCCCGGCUUGUGUGUUGGGUCGUCGUCCCCCCCGGGGGACGGGCCCGAAAGGCAGCGGCGGCACCGCGUCCGGUCCUCGAGCGUAUGGGGCUUUGUCACCCGCUCGAUUAGGGCCGGCCGGGCGCCAGCCGGCGUCUCCAACCUUCUAUUUUACCAGGUUGACCUCGGAUCAGGUAGGGAUACCCGCUGAACUUAAGCAUAUCAAUAAGCGGAAGA